AAUGUCGUCUCCCUCAUCGUCUUCCGAGAUAAACGUGGUUCAGGCAGGUGCUGUGACAUCGGCGAUCCGUCUACGUUUCGCCAACCUAGGAAGCCCCACCUCGUUCCACGUGGGUCCCUCACUGGGAGAAUUUUUGUCUCCGUUUUCAUCCAUUCUCUGAGGUUCGAUCCUCGCCAUGCCGUCGCUCGUCCAUUGUUCCCUGCCCCAUCCAAGUGAAAGACGACUCUUUCUAAUCCAUUUAAUUUGUAGGUUUCUUCCUUCCUCUUUUUGGGUGGGUGUAUAAUUUUUGUUUGGUUUUGUUACAGAUUUGAGCUAUACAGUGAGGGUUUUUUUAAAUCCACUGGAGUUUAUUUUCCUUGUGGUUUGGUUUUUUCAGAGACAAAGCAAAUCUGAGACUUGUGGAUCCUAAAAAUGGUGUUGCGUGCAUCAAUCUAGGAAAAAUUGUUUUUUCUGUGUUUUGCUUUGUCCUGUUGGUUCCUUUUGCAGGGUUUUCUUUUGGGAAGCUUAAAUCUAGGCUCUUUUCCUUGCUUCGACAAAGGUUUCAAGUGGCAGUGAUUCGUUGAAUUCAGAGAAUUUCAGAAGACGCGAGUGGGUAGCUGAAGAGCACAUCGUCUCCACCCUUGUUCGUGUUCAUUUGAUAGAUUUGUUGCUUCUUGGCCCUUGGCUGGGCGCUAUUGACGCAACGGUUCGGUUUGAACUGUGAACCGGAUCGAUCAAAUCCGAAAUUGAACUGAAAUUUUAGACUAAAAAGCCAGUUGCGGUUUUUUCUGUGAUCCAGAAUCGAAAUCGAUUAAUUUGAACCAAUAAUCCCAUUUAAUUCUGAUUUGAUUUUUUAUUUUUUAA